rnacentral:rRNA from 1 species
AACGAUGAACCUUAGCUUGCUAGGGGGAUUAGUGGCGAACGGGUGAGUAAUAUAUCGGAACGUACCUUGUAAUGGGGGAUAACUAGUCGAAAGAUUAGCUAAUACCGCAUACGCCCUGAGGGGGAAAGUAGGGGAUCUUCGGACCUUACGUUAUAAGAGCGGCCGAUAUCUGAUUAGCUAGUUGGUGGGGUAAUGGCCUACCAAGGCGACGAUCAGUAGCUGGUCUGAGAGGACGACCAGCCACACUGGAACUGAGACACGGUCCAGACUCCUACGGGAGGCAGCAGUGGGGAAUUUUGGACAAUGGGCGCAAGCCUGAUCCAGCCAUUCCGCGUGAGUGAAGAAGGCCUUCGGGUUGUAAAGCUCUUUCGCAAGGGAAGAAAACUUACUUUCUAAUAAAGAGUGAGGCUGACGGUACCUUGAUAAGAAGCACCGGCUAACUACGUGCCAGCAGCCGCGGUAAUACGUAGGGUGCGAGCGUUAAUCGGAAUUACUGGGCGUAAAGCGUGCGCAGGCGGUUUUGUAAGUCAGAUGUGAAAUCCCCGAGCUCAACUUGGGAACUGCGUUUGAAACUACAAGACUAGAAUAUGUCAGAGGGGGGUAGAAUUCCACGUGUAGCAGUGAAAUGCGUAGAGAUGUGGAGGAAUACCAAUGGCGAAGGCAGCCCCCUGGGAUAAUAUUGACGCUCAUGCACGAAAGCGUGGGGAGCAAACAGGAUUAGAUACCCUGGUAGUCCACGCCCUAAACGAUGUCUACUAGUUGUUGGUGGAGUAAAAUCCAUGAGUAACGCAGCUAACGCGUGAAGUAGACCGCCUGGGGAGUACGGUCG